rnacentral:rRNA from 1 species
UACAGAGGUCUCAAGCGUUGUUCGGAUUCAUUGGGCGUAAAGGGUGCGUAGGCGGUCUGUUGCGUCGGGAGUGAAAAACUUACAGCUUAACUGUGAGCGUGCUUCCGAUACGGGCAGACUUGAGGUAUUCAGGGGAGAACGGAAUUCCUGGUGUAGCGGUGAAAUGCGCAGAUAUCAGGAGGAACACCGGUGGCGAAGGCGGUCAUC